GUGCUCCCUUCAGCAGCACAUACACUAAAAUUGGAAUGAUACAGAAAAGAUUAGUGUGGCCCCUGCGCUAGAAUGACACGCAAAUUCGUGAAGCGUUCCAUAUUUUU
ensembl:snRNA U6 U6 spliceosomal RNA